rnacentral:rRNA from 1 species
GACGAACGCUGGCGGCGUGCUUAACACAUGCAAGUCGAACGGAAAGGCCCUGCUUUUGUGGGGCGCUCGAGUGGCGAACGGGUGAGUAACACGUGAGUAACCUGCCCUUGACUUUGGGAUAACUUCAGGAAACUGGGGCUAAUACCGGAUAGGAGCUCCUGCUGCAUGGUGGGGGUUGGAAAGUUUCGGCGGUUGGGGAUGGACUCGCGGCUUAUCAGCUUGUUGGUGGGGUAGUGGCUUACCAAGGCUUUGACGGGUAGCCGGCCUGAGAGGGUGACCGGCCACAUUGGGACUGAGAUACGGCCCAGACGCAUACGGGAGGCAGCAGUGGGGAAUAUUGCACAAUGGGCGGAAGCCUGAUGCAGCAACGCCGCGUGCGGGAUGACGGCCUUAGGGUUGUAAACCGCUUUCGCCUGUGACGAAGCGUGAGUGACGGUAAUGGGUAAAGAAGCACCGGCUAACUACGUG